GAAUGUGAGGGUGAUCGGGCUGCAACAUCUGUCACCCCAUUGACUGCAAAGGUUGAUUCAGCUGAUCUGGCUGGCUAGGCGGGUAUCACCUUCCUGCCUCACUACUCCAUGUGCAUCCUUCCCAAAGCUGCAUGCUUGGUUGAAGAGUAUGACCUUCCCUGAUAAAGGAAGACAGUUCUUUGGUCAAGGAUAUACAAGUAGCUGUGCUCCCCAGCUUGAACUUCCAAACAAGCUCUCAAGGUCCAUUUAUAGAAGAAUGUAGGAUAGUCAAGCUUCCAAGACUCCUUACACAUCCAAACGGGGUGCUGCAUUUGGCAGUCUGCCUUUCUUU
rnacentral:snRNA from 1 species